rnacentral:rRNA from 1 species
UACGUAGGAGGCGAGCGUUGUCCGGAAUUACUGGGCGUAAAGAGCGCGUAGGUGGCGCGAUACGACCGGUGUGAAAUCCCCCGGCUCAACCGGGGAACUGCUGGGUAUACUGGCGAUCUUGAGCGAUCUAGGGGCAGAUGGAACAAGUGGUGGAGCGGUGAAAUGCGUAGAUAUCACUUGGAACGCCAAAGGUGAAAACAAUCUGCUGGGGAUCUGCUGACGCUGAGACACGAAAGCCAGGGGAGCGAACGGG